GACGAACGCUGGCGGCGUGCCUAACACAUGCAAGUCGAACGGAAAGGCGCUGCUUUCUUGGGGUGUUCGCGUGGCGAACGGGUGUGUAACACGUGAGUAACCUGCCCUUGACUUUGGGACAACCUCAGGAAACUGGGGCUAAUACCGGAUAGGAGCUGCUGCUGCUUGGUGGGCGUCGGAAAGUUUCGGCGGAUUGGGAUGGACUUGCGGUUCAUUAGCUUGUUGGUGGGGUAGUGGCUUACCAGGGCUUCGGCGGGUAGCCGGCCUGAGAGGGUAGCCGGCCACAUUGGGACUGAGGUACGGCCCAGUCUCCUACGUUGGGCAGAGGUGGGAAAUAUUGCACAGUGGGCGGAAGCCUGAUGCAACAACGCCGCGUUCGGAAUGACGGCCUUCUUGUUGUAAACCGCAUUCGCCUAUUACGAAGCUUUAUUGACGUUAAUGAGUAAAGAAGCACCGGCUAACUACGUG
rnacentral:rRNA from 1 species